rnacentral:rRNA from 1 species
UACGUAGGCGGCAAGCGUUGUCCGGAAUUACUGGGUGUAAAGCGCGUGUAGGCGGGAGGCCAAGUCUGCUGUGAAAUCGCUCGGCUCAACUGGGCGGGGUCGGUGGAAACUGGUCACCUGGAGGACGGUAGAGGCGAGUGGAAUUCCCGGUGUAGUGGUGAAAUGCGUAGAGAUCGGGAGGAACACCAGUGGCGAAGGCGGCUCGCUGGGCCGGUCCUGACGCUGAGACGCGAAGGCGUGGGGAGCGAACGGG